ensembl:lncRNA
CUGCUGACGUCAUCCCCUGCACAAACACUAGGCGUCACUCCCUGCCCUCCCCUCUAGCCUCCAGCACACCUGCCGAGCAUGGCAAGCAUCCAACACACAUACCAACAUGGGAACAAAGGCUCGAUGAUUCCUGUAGCCAGCAUCUCCUCCACUUCCUGCUUUAAUCCUGGGACCAGUCUGGCUGGAAUGCGGCAGGUGGUGUCCCUGAUUGCCCGCUGCGCAGGACAUACGAGAGCUCACUGCACUGCUGUUGUGGCAUAGGAUGCCCUCCCAGGCAUCCUUCAAGACAUCCAUGGGACCCCUCACUGGAUGUCCAUAUAGCAGCUGGAAAGCAGGCCUGAGGUGAAGUUGGUGCCUUGGUCUGUGAUGAUCUCCUUGGGGAUUCCCACUCUGGAAAACAGCUGAAUGGGGCAGUUGACAAUCUGGCGAGCCUUGAUCUUCUUCAAGGGGAAGGCUUCAGGGUAUCUUGUGGCAAAAUCGCAAACCACCAGUAUGUACCCGUGGCCUACACUACUCCUUUCUAGUGGGCCUACAAUGUCCAUUGCAAUGCGGGAAAAGGGUGCAUCUAUGAUGGGCAUGCUAAUGAGGGGAGCUCCAUCUCCAUUCCUGCCUAGAGCUGUUAAUUGACACUAUGGACAAGACAACAAGGCAACAUUUCAUUGUGUCCACGUACUGCUGGGGCCAAUAGAAACGAGUAACCAUUCUCAAAAAUGUUUUAGCCUGUCCCAAGUGUCCUGCCCAUGGGAUACGAGUGGCUCAGGUUAAGGAUUGUGUGCCUUAAACUCUGUGGAAUGACUAACUGAUCACAAAUCUGGCUAUACAACUUGUCUCCCUUGACCACAAAUGCUUCCUUUCCUCUACCUAUCACCUGGGUUGACACAGGCACACAUUUAGCAAAGACCGUGGCAAGUGUGGAGUCCUCUCUCUGUAGCUUAGCAAUGUCACUAGGAAUCGGUUUAAUAAUAAAGUUUAAUUCUACCGGCUACGCCACCUGUUCAGCAACUUUUGUUCCCCUUACCCUGUCUCUUCUCCUCUCUUGCUUUUCCUUUCUCUACAGUGGCUAGUGUGCUCACCCCCAGGGACUUCCUCGUUUGCAAAUGGUAGCUCCUCCCACUCUGCUGAACUAACUUGUUCUUGCUUGGUUUUU